rnacentral:rRNA from 1 species
UACGUAGGGGGCAAGCGUUGUUCGGAAUUACUGGGCGUAAAGGGCUCGUAGGUGGCCAACUAAGUCGGACGUGAAAUCCCUCAGCUUAACUGGGGAACUGCGUCCGAUACUGGAUGGCUCGAGUUUGGGAGAGGGAUGCGGAAUUCCAGGUGUAGCGGUGAAAUGCGUAGAUAUCUGGAGGAACACCGGUGGCGAAGGCGGCAUCCUGGACCAACACUGACACUGAGGAGCGAAAGCGUGGGGAGCGAUCCGG